AGAGGGAGAAGAAGCAGGCUUCCUGCCGAGCAGGGAGCCUGAUGCGGGGCUUGAUCCCAGGACCCUGGGAUCAUGACCUGAGCCGAAGGCAGUCACUUAACCACUGAGCCACCCAGGCGCCCCUUGGCAUGAGUUCUUAAGGGAUGGUUUAUAUGACCACGUAGAGCUAUGUUAUGUGAGUGCUUCCCAAUCUCUGUUCUCAAUGAUCAGAUUCAUUUUUUCCCCUAAGAGCCACAUGCUUUGAAAGAUUUUUAUCUACUGAAUAAAUCACACUUAUAAAGAAAUCAUAUUAAGUAUUUACUAGUACCAGGUAUUGUAUAAAUGAGUGCUUUACACCCAUUAUCUAAAAUCCUCAAGGAGUCUGAAAAAUAUAAAUUAUUACUCCCAUUUUACAAAUAAGUAAACUGAGGUUCAGAGAUCUUAAGGACAUAGCCUAAGUCUUAUUGCGAGAAAUUAAAUUCUGGCCUCACCUCUACACCCACAUUCUUUCCAGUACAGUCUGUCUACCCUAUAGACAACACAUGCAAGCAACCAGAACUUCUUAGUAUGAAGAUACAUUCUUCACCGUGAGUUAGUAUGGCAUAACUUCCCCAGCUCCCCCCAACCCCAAAAGGAAAGAAGCUUUCCAUUAUUUAGUUAACCUAUUCAAGCUUUACUGAGUAAACAUACAAUGUCUUUCAGGCUUUUCUGAAGUACUGGACAUAGUUCAAGUAAUUCCAUUACUAUCCUUGUAGAACUGUGAGAUCCUACAGAACCCAGACGGGAAACUGGAACUGGCAGUUCAAACAAAUGGAAAUUGGACAGAAGGAGUUCAGAACACAGAUCCAGGCACAGACCUCCUUCUCUGGAAUUCUCUUUCUCUAGGAUUCUCCCACUCCUUCGAUUCUAUCAAGUAUUCAGUGAUGUACCACAGUCUGAUGUGAGGGAGGAGUGGAUCCUGAAAACAGAGAAAAUUGCUCUUGAGGCCAGAAACGGAGUUGUGAAUCCAUAGCCUUCUGUGCUUUGACAAAUGUGUAAAUUCUGUAGUGACAUUGACCUGCUCUUUGGCAAAUCUCGGAACAUGAACUCAAUAGGAAUUCAUUGACAUCAGGUCGCUGGGAAAUAGAGGAUGUUAAUGCCUAGAGCAACCUCAUAAGCCACAUGUUGAAGAUGGCAGAAUUACAAGAUGGAAGGGCCUGGUUCCUUGAAUGACCACUUGGAAGAGAGGCACCCACCAUGAACACCCAUUUUGGAUGUUUUAUGAGUGAGAAAUAAAUUUCUUAUCAUGUCUCAGGUUUGAUAUACAGAUUUCAUACUACAGUUAGUAUUGCCUUAAUUAACAUAGACCACAAGCUCAAAGUCCCUCUGGUCCAAUGACUGGCAUAUGGCAAGUGCUCAAUAAACGUAUUUGGAUAAAUGAGUGAAUACUCAAACACCUCUGGAGAUAAAGAAUUAAUCCACUGCCCUAUCAGUUUAAUACAUUUCAAUCAGCUAGAAUUAUUGGAAAAUUACUUAUAUGGAGCUAAAAUCCAUUAUCUUUAACUUGUACUCAUUUGUGACUGCCCUUCCCAGUCACUCAAAAUAAUUCUGAACCCUCUUCAAGGCAGCCCUUCAAUUAUUUAAUAAUACUUACUCUUAUUCCCUCCAUGACAAACCUCUGGUUUCCAAGCUAAAUAGUCUAAUGUUUUUCAUUGUUCUUAUUAUGUUAUAGUUACUAAAACUCUUAUCACCAUCUUUACCCUCCUCUGGGCAUUUUGGUCGGGUUUGUCAUUGUUCCCCAUUCAAUGGGUAUUCAGAACAGAACAUCAUACUCUUGGCAACACUGACCAGCAUGGGAGGGUACCAGUUGCCCCUCCCAGUCAGGACUUCAUACUUCAAUUAAUGCAGCUUAAUAUUUUAACAGUCUUAGAGGUGGUCAUAUCACCUGUUGACUCAUUUUGAGCUUGUGGUCAAACUUCCUACCUCUUCUCUCUCCUCUCCUCUGCCUCCCAUAUAUACCACGAUUUAUUAUAUGACCUUAGACAAAUCACUUCACCUCUCUAGGACUAAUUUCUCAUGUGAAAAAUGAGGUGAUUGAACCAGAUGACUUCUGAGUUGUUUCCCCCUGCCCCAUUCUAAUAUUCUUUGAGUCAAAAUAAGAAGUUCUAAGAGAGCUCACAUUGUACUUUUAUGUAGAAUCCUUCACCCAUAGCAGUAUGAGAGUAUAAACUGCCUGGAAACAUUAAACUCAUUGAACAACAUGAAACUGGACAGGUAAUUUUCCUCAGCUUACAUUCACAGAUAUGUGUAUAGUGUGUGGUAAGUUGUAUAUAUACAGGAAGGCCAACUGACUAUGCUAAAAUGUAGUGGUCAAGGAGGGAAAAAAUAAGGCACAGGCAAAAAAUAAAAAUAAUAAAAUUAAAAAACAGUGAGGUCAUGGGGGGAAUCAGGGUGUGGUUUUCUUUGAAGGAACACUCCAUCACUUUUUUAAUCCAAGGGAGAAUAGCCAUGAAAAAGAGGAUAUAUAUCUCACUCAGCAGAAAGCCUUGUUUGAUGUGUUGUCAAUUUCCUCAUCUCAUUUCACACACCAUCCAAACAUGCCAAAAACAAAACAAAACAAAACAAAAAAAACCCCACACUCAACCAAUGGGCAAAUAAAUGCAUUUGCUAUGGGGGAAAUCAAACCACGUCUCAAUAACCCUUGCCCUUGGUAAAUUUCUUAUAAAGCAGACAUCUCCCAUGAUUUUAGCUGAUUAAUUUUUCCUGGUAUUUCUGCAUGCCUGUCCUCCUUCCAUCCACAGCUGAGAGGCUGGAUCCACUUUCCACCCUAGACUGAGAUUCUAGGCAUUAUUAUUUGACCUCUUUUGAAAAACUCAUGCAAGCUUUAUAACCCGAUCUGGGCACACCCCCCAUUGGGGCCUGCAUUUCCUGUGGAUGAUGCUUUGGUUUCCUAGGUGACAGUGGGAAGGAAUAGACCUGUUAGCUUGUGGCUUCUGACUCACUCUCUGCAAUGGACGUCACAGAAUCGUGGCUGAACAAGUGGAUGCUGAUAAAAACAUGUGCUUCGGGGAGCAGCAGGGCACUAAUGGUUAAGACCAUCCCAUUGUACCAGGUUUCCCUCCCACUAAGGAGGCCAACAGACAGACAGAAAUACCAGAUCUGAAAAAAACAAGCAACAGAUUUGAAACCUUCUCUGAACUCCCAUAUUGAAGUGCACAGUGGAGUCCUAUUUACCACCCCAUUAUUUUAUUCCUUUCCCUGUUUAGAAUUUCCUUUUUUUUUUCCCCUGGAAUGUGGAAGUACCGCGAUUCUCUAAUGAAAUGUCAGAUGGAGGCUGAAGAAUGGGAGGUGGAGACAAGCCAAAAACUCACCAAAAAGCUUGUUUACUGAAAGCUUGUUACCGCUCUUUUUGAUCUUUCACAUUUGCUCCCUGAGAGGGGACAGGUAACCACAGUGGACUAACCAAUUAUCAAAGCCCAGGAUGAAAAAUACAUUCUGUUGUGAAAUUAAUCUUCAGAAAAGGUGGGUUUUGGGGUGCCUGGGUGGCUCAGUCAAUUAAGCAUCUGUCUUCAGCUCAGGUCAUGGUCCCAGAGUCAUGGGAUGGAGCCCUGCGUCAGACUCCCUGCUCAGUGGGGAGUCUGCUUCUCCCUCUCCCCCUGCUCUUGUGCUCUUCUCUCUCUCUCUCUCUCUCUCACUUGCUCACUCUCUCUCUCAAAUAAAUAAAAUCUUAAAAGAAAAGAAAAGCUGGGUUUCAUGAAGCCUAGGGACAAGGACCAUACACACACACACACACAGGUGGGGGUGGGGAGAGGGGGAGAGAGAGAGAGAGAGAGAGAGAUUAACUUUCUAGUUACCUCUUUUUCUAUCAGCUGAACCCAGCAACAUACAAGUCAGGGAAGACUGCCUGGAAUGAAAAAACACGGAAGAGUUCUUUUGUCCCUUACAUCUGAACUACUAAAGACUGAAUGGAUUCUUUAGAUUCUUGAAUUCCUUAAAUGACCAACAAACCUAAAGGUUCUCUACUGGAGAUAAUGCAUCUUGUUUUCCACAGAGCCUUAAGGGAUGCUUUAAAUAGCAUCAGCAAGCAUCCGAAUGAAUUAGACAGCAAAUGUAGGUUAGCUUUAUUUAGACAGAUAAAGACAAGCAGAGAAAGUUGUCUGGUUCAAGGGCAGUGCAGCCUGACAUGACAGCAUUUCUCAGAGGAGGGGAAAUUGCUUUGGGAGAGAGAGGUAUUUUGGGAAAAGAGCAAAGUUCCUUGGAUCACCAAGGGAAGAAGCAAUGCUAAGUUCUUCAGUACAGAGGAGCAGGAAUUAAGAGUGGCCUGCCACUUGUUAAAGGAAAGAUCUAUAGAUUUAAAAUGUAAAGCAGAACUUAGCAUCCUUAAGUUCAUACGUGCAUCCCUCUCUUCUCUCUCCCAUUCCUUGGGAACACCAUCAGAAAGGACAUGCUUCCCAGAACAGGAGCUGAGGUAGGGGAUUUUUCAUACU